CCUACGGGUGGCAGCAGUGAGGAAUAUUGGUCAAUGGGCGCGAGCCUGAACCAGCCAAGUCGCGUGAGGGAAGACGGUCCUAUGGAUUGUAAACCUCUUUUGUCGGGGAGCAAAAGACGCCACGCGUGGCGUUCCGAGAGUACCCGAAGAAAAAGCAUCGGCUAACUCCGUGCCAGCAGCCGCGGUAAUACGGAGGAUGCGAGCGUUAUCCGGUUGUAUUGGGUGUAAAGGGGGCGCAGGCGGAAGAUCAAGUCAGCGGUAAAAUUGAGGGGCUCAACCUCUUCGAGCCGUUGAAACUGGUGGGCUUGAGUGAGUGAGAAGUAGGCGGAAUGCGUGGUGUAGCGGUGAAAUGCAUAGAUAUCACGCAGAACUCCGAUUGCGAAGGCAGCAUACCGGAGCGCAACUGACGCUCAUGCACGAAAGUGUGGGUAUCGAACAGGAUUAGAUACCCCAGUAGUC
rnacentral:rRNA from 1 species